rnacentral:rRNA from 1 species
GGGUCAGUAGGUUGGUCGUGCCACCGGUACGUACUGGCCUCACUGAUUCCUCCUUCCUGAAGAACCGUAAUGCCAUUAAUUUGGUGUCGCGGGGAAACAGGACUGUUACUUUGAAAAAAUUAGAGUGUUUAAAGCAAGCUAACGCUUGAAUACAUUAGCAUGGAAUAAUGAAAUAGGACGAUCGAUCCUAUUUUGUUGGUUUCUAGGAUUGACGUA